UGUAGGUGAUGAUGGCGGAAGAAGAGCUAUGUUGAGUUAUCCAUUCGUUAUUCUAUACAUAUAUAUGUAGUAAAUCUGUACAUUUUAUUACAUAUCUGUUACGUGUACGCCGACUAGGCCUCUUCUGCUCAUCUUCCGCACAGCCGAGAGCAUGGGGAACGAAGCCAGCCUGGAGGGAGGAGGGCAACCUGGGGAGCCCGGCUCCGCGGUGUCUGCGGCAGGACUUUCAGCACCAGCGGGCUCUGGACAGCUCCUGAAGCCGAGCAAUGGGGCGGCCGCCGGGGGAGGAGCGGCGGCCGGAGCCGGAUCUGGAGCUGGAGGCGGGAUUAGCAGCGUCUCAAGAAAACCAAGCCAGAUGGACCACACCACAAGCCCAAAGCCACCCUCCAAAUCUGAUUAUACGGACAGCAGAGUUGGAGGGCCAGGUCGGACUGAACUUCAUCGACCGGGUGCCCAAGAGAGCCCGAGAGAACAGCCUAGCCAAGGUCAUCAACAGGCACAGAAACCACGGCGGGCACUGCAAGUGGACAGCACCAGUAUGAGGUCCGGAAGGUCACCCUCUGCUUCCCCAGACCGUGGCAGCACCCCCACCUCUCCCUACUCUGUUCCCCAAAUUGCACCAUUACCCAGCAGCAAGCUGUGUCCGGUAUGCAACACAACUGACCUGACAGCCUCACAUAACCAGCCAAAUUUCAACACUUGUACGCAGUGCCGUUCCACAGUGUGCAACCAGUGCGGGUUCAACCCUAAUCCCCACCUCACAGAGAUCCAGGAGUGGCUGUGUCUCAACUGCCAGAUGCAGCGAGCCUUAGGGAUGGACAUGACCACACCUCCCCGCUCCAAGAGUCAGCAGCAGAUCCACUCACCAUCCCACCAUGCCAAACCAGAGCCCCAGCUGCAGUCCCACACCCUGCCUAAGCCGUCUCCCCAGCGCGCCCAGAAGCAGGAGGGUGCUCAACCAGCUCCUGGGACUCACAUGACAAAGCCCGAGCAUCCCACUCAACAAGUGCCACCAAGCCCAUCUCAAAGCAGGCAAGACCUCUCUGGCAGGAGGGAACCGUCAGUGGCAGCUAGCACCCAGGGCAUUCCCCGAUCGAGCUCUCAAGUGCAGCAACAGCCGAAAGCUACAGAACAAAGCAGAGGAGUUAACGGCUCUCCUGCACGAGCGCCCAGUGGAGCCCAGGAACCACCGCAAGAUGGGAUAACUGGAAAGCUGUUUGGUUUUGGGGCAUCCUUGCUAAAUCAAGCAAGCACUCUUAUUUCAGUAGACCCACAGCCCACCACACAGCCCCAGCAAUCCCCAGCCAAGGUAGCACCAAAGGUAGUGUUCACUGAUGCCAGCUCGGCCGCAGCACCCAAAACCCAGGUGCCUGCACCUGGCGCCACCCAGGGCAGACCUGGCAGCCAGCCACCCCAUACACAGCAGCAGCAACGGCAACCAGCCAAGAUGGAACCAGCAGCCAAGCCGAAGGAACCUGAGAAGCCUAAAGUGACAUGCCCUCUGUGCAAGACGGAGCUGAAUGUGGGCUCUGGACAGCCUGCCAACUACAACUCAUGUACGCAGUGUCACAGCCAGGUGUGCAACCUGUGUGGCUUCAACCCAACGCCUCAUCUGCUAGAGAAGAAAGAAUGGUUGUGUCUCAACUGUCAAACCCAACGACUGCUCUCAGGAAGCCUGGGAGAUGCCCCCCUACCAGUGCCUCAGCCUUCUCCGAAACAUCAAGCGAUGGGCUCACCACGACACCAACCGGCAACUCAAGUGCAGCAGGGGAAAGCAGCAGGUCACCCACAAGUGUCAGCAGUGUCCUCCACCCCGGCUCUUCCCUCUCAAACUCCAGCUGGCAAGCCUAGUGAACUACCUGAGAAAGAUCAGAAGCAGGUGAGGCCAAGCAAGGAUGCACAGAUUACAGCCAUCUCCAAAGAAACCAAACCGGCACCAAAGAAAGAGGUUCCAGAGAUGACAUCCACAACAAAGGAGGCCAAGAGGAUAGCAGAUGCUACAAAAGUACGACACCAGGAGGACGUUACCAAGUCAAGUACUCAGGACUUAUCCCGAAGCCCUCAGAGUCUCAGUGACACUGGCUACUCAUCUGAUGGCAUUUCCAGCUCACAGAGUGAAAUAACCGGGCUGAUUCAGGAGGAGGAGAUGAAACUAAAUGAAAGGGGUGUCAGUGAACACAGCCCCACCAGUCCCUCGGAACUCACCAAGCUGGAAAGCAGCAUGCGUCCUCUCCUUGAGUCAAAGUCAGCUUCACAUCAGGAUGCCACUGCACGAGGUAGGCAGCAGCAACAUCAGGAUCAGCGAGAAGAUCAGAAACAGAAACAGAGGCCCCAUUCACUGUCCAUUACGCCAGAAGCCUUUGAUUCAGAUGAAGAGCUUGAGGACAUUUUGGAGGAAGAUGAGGACUCCUUGGAGUGGGAGAACCAGCGAGAACAGAGGGACAGUCUGGUAGAGUCUUCGGAUGAUUUCAGCAGCAGGCUACGGCAUGACUAUGUGGAGGACAGCAGUGAGAGUGGCUUCUCACCGCUUCCUGGCCGACACAGGAAAACUGACUCCGAGAUGACCGAUGAAGAAUUCAUGAGAAGGCAGAUAAUGGAAAUGAGUGCUGAAGAAGAUAAUUUAGAGGAAGAUGAGGGCUAUGGGUAUCCAAAGCCAAAGAAGAGCCAUAAGCAUGGUACUGAAUCAGCAAAGGAGUCCAAGCGCCGCACCUCGCACAGUUCUGGCAGCUUUUAUGAAGAAGAUGGAAAAGGCCAUGUAGACAUUUAUGAGGGUAGCCAAGAAGUCGAUGCAGAUGACCUAAUGUCUUCCCAAGGAGGACUGCGGCGCUUCAAGACAAUUGAGCUGAACAACACUAACAGUUACACACGUGACAUAGAGCUUAAUCAUGAAAAUGACAUGAGUCUGGACCGGGAGCCAGAAUUAGAGAUGGAGAGUUUGACUGGUUCUCCUGAUGAGAGGUCUAGAGGGGAAUAUUCAUCAACUUUGCCAGCCACCACCCCUAGUUACACCUCUGGUACUUCCCCAACCUCAUUAUCCUCCAUGGAGGAAGACAGCGACAGCAGUCCUAGCCGCAGACAGAGACUGGAGGAAGUAAAGCAGCAGAGAAAGGCCCGGCAUCGUUCCCACGGUCCCCUUCUUCCCACCAUUGAGGAUUCUUCUGAAGAAGAGGAGUUGAGGGAAGAGGAAGAACUUCUGAGGGAGCAAGAAAAGAUGCGGGAGGUGGAGCAGCAAAGAAUCCGGAGCACAGUAAGGAAAACUAAAAGGGAUAAAGAAGAGUUGCGGGCUCAGAGGAGACGAGAGCGCUCCAAAACUCCCCCCAGCAACCUCUCCCCAAUAGAAGAUGCUUCACCAACAGAAGAACUGAGACAGGCAGCAGAAAUGGAGGAGUUGCACAGAUCAUCCUGCUCUGAAUAUUCUCCUUCCAUUGAUUCUGAAGCAGAGGGGUUUGAGAUGAUCACCUCCAAGCUGUACAAGUCUGGCAGUGAAUACAACUUACCCACCUUCAUGUCACUGUACUCUCCAACUGAAAAGCCCACAACUACCUCAGCUUCUUCCACCAGCAAGCCCCUGAAGAGUGCAGAGGAGGUCUAUGAAGAAAUGAUGAGGAAAGCAGAGCUGCUGCAAAAACAGCAGAAGCAACAGACACAGCAGCUUAAACAAGGUUCAACAUACGGCAGUGCCUAUCAACAAGAGGAGUUCAGGAGUCCCAGCCACCAGUAUCAAUAUGAAGAAGACUACAGCUAUGACAAACACGUCGCACCUUCUCAGCCUAGCUAUCAAAACAACCUUCCAAAAGCUGAGGAUAUCUAUGAAGAGAUCCUACAGACAUCCCAGAACAUAUCCAAAAUGCACCAGUCCUCAUCUCUUGAUUUGUGUCUACAGCAGGAAAGCACUGCCACAACUGUUGGCGGUUCUUUCCAAGACAAGCAGCUUCUGGACACAGGAUCUGCCUUUGCCAAGUUGCUAGAACAGAACAGUGCCCUCCUCACGCCAGGCACAAGCCCCACACAGCUUGCUGCACCCGUUUCAUUUUCACCAAGUGAAACUACAGGAAUGGGAAGCAGGGGAGUACCAGAUGUGCGAGUGACACAGCACUUUUCAAAGGAGUCCCUCAAGGAACGGGUGGCAAGCCAUGGCUCUAGAACAAGCACGACUCCUGUGACAACGGUAGCCACGUACAGCAUGUAUAGUAGGGAAUCAAAAUCCAGCCCUCAGACCACAACUUCAAGCAGUCAGUCAGUGGGCUACGGGCGGCAAACGUCUGCAGCAUCCAGCUCCACUUCAAGUAAGACCUCAGCAUAUAGUCAAAGUUAUGGUCAAAGGGAUAGCAGUAGCAGGAGAAUUCAAGAUAACAAGACUGUCCAAAGUAGAGAAGGACCUCAAAGUUCAGCUGAGACCAGCAGCAUCAGCCUCACAUCAAAAGUAUAUUCCUUCUUUAAAAGUUCUAGUCCCCCACUUUCUCCAUCAUCAUCACCUACUCAGAGCCCCACUCAUACCCCUUCACGAAUGCACACAGCAGAGUUUUCUUCCCAAACUUACAGCCCAAGUAUGUCAGUUCCUAGUUCCAGCAGCAGCUCUUCAUCUCCAGUCAUGGCCCAAGGGACACAGACUCCACACCGCUCCAGUUCACCACGACUGGCACGGCAGCAGUCUUCCCAGGAAGCACCCUUUAUGGUCAUCACUCUGGGAUCAGAUGUGACUAGCCCCAACAAACCUCUGACAGUAAACUCAUCCACUUCCCCCAUUUCGUCUCCAACUCGGCUGAGCCGUCAGCAAACUAUUCAUGGCUACACUCAGCCAACAGCAUCACCACCAGCACCACAGCCACUGCCCUCCUCACAACAGCCCCUAUACAAAACACAGUUGCAGAUGGAUCGAGCAUCUGCAGCUAGUAGCAUGACUCAUGUGACAACGGGGAAAGUUCAUGUUGGCACCAGCACUGUAACUACAGCCGGUACUUACAGUCGAGACUCUUUGUCUAUGGAAAACAUCUCCUUAUGCAGGAUCUCCACUGUUCCUGGGACUUCCAGAGUAGAGCAAGGCCCACGUCUGCCCAGCAGCAGUGUUGUGGAUUUACGCACUGCCAUUAAACCAGCUCCAGUUAUUAUGACAGACCAAGGCAUGGACCUAACUUCAGUGGCCACAGAAAGUCGUCGAUAUUCAUUGGGAUCUGAGGGUAGCCCCAGCCGACACUCUACUGCAGUCCAGCCACUCAUUAUGAACCUCAAUGCACAGGAACAGCCACACGUGGCUCUGUCUACUGCAGCUACUGUAAGCAUCACGGUGGCUGCCUCCAUGUUCAUGUCUCAACCAAAGCAGCCGGUGAUUUACGGUGAUCCAUUCCAGAAUCGAGUUGAUUUGGGACAUGGAUCAGGAUCAGCCAUUUGCCUGACUUCAAGCAAGUCAGCUGAGUCUAUUGCCCAGCAGUCUAUUCCAAUGAUAGAUGCUAAGCUAGAGGACCUUGGGAUCCAACAUCAGCAACUGCAGCAACAAAUACAACUCCAUCAGCAACAGCUUCAGCAACAACAAGCUGCUUUUGCUCGGUAUAAUCUGGCUAACCAAGUUCAUCCCUUGGCCAAGAAAGACCUUUUGGUCAGUCAGAGUAGCAGUGCCCAAACAAUAGUAAGUGUAAGCGCAAUUCCCAGAGUACCACCUGCUCCUAGCCACUCAGUGGCAGCUCCUAUUCCUCCUGCCCCUCCACUUGAUCUCUUCAGUAAUGCUGCCUUAGAAUUAAAAGGUCAGUCAGCUGCUGUUAACCUUUCAGGGGUAAAACCUCAUGCCAUGAUGGUGCAGCUGGACAGCACAUCUCAGGGAGCAACUGUCACACAGCUUGUCAAAUCAGAAGAGCCUCCAGAUGCCCUGGACCUUACUGGGAUUAAGGCUGAAAAUCAAGUGGCCUGUUGUGAUGUAGUUUACAAGUUCCCCUUCGGAGGAAGCUGCACUGGUGCCUUUACUCAGCACCCAAAGAUGGCAGAAAAAGGCCCUGGGCCAGUAGUUGACUCACAAGGCCCCCGGAUGCCACCCACUCCACAGUUUUAUGGAAGCAGAACUCAAGAACCCAGGCAAGACAGUUAUCAGUACAGGGAACAGUCAGUGAGCAACCAAGGCUUCGUCGAUGAUCGAAAGACUUUCCUUCCUCCAAUAUCUGGCCGUCUCCAUCCAUCCAUGUCUGACACCAAUCUUGCUGAAGUUGGGCUACAUUUUUACCCGACUAAAAAUGAUCCUACUUACCAGGGACCAAGUGGCGACCUUGCUGUUGAUCUGAGCACAAUGAAGCAUUCUUAUAGUGUGAGUUUUACAGAAGGUGGCUAUUUAGGUGUGGGAAUGCAGUAUGGCUCCUACACAGACCUACGACACCAAGGUGAUAUGAUGAACCAGCCUUUACCAAUGCGCAGAUACAACUCAAUGUCAAACAUCAACACCGACUAUGGCUACUCCUCCCACGACCUGGCCACUUUCCAAGAGUCGAACCUGGCCCAGUACAGUGCAACAACAGCCAGAGAGAUCAGCAGAAUGUGUGCUGCUCUCAAUUCAAUGGAUCAAUUUGGGGGCAGGUAUGCCAACAGUUCAGAUGUGAUGCAAUAUGGAGCGCCUGGUGGUGGAGGGCCUGGUGGCAGACUCAAUCUUCUGCCUGGCCAGCAAAACCUGUCCUCCAUGAAAGCCAACCUGAUGUAUGGCCAAGGCAUUCAAGAAGGAAGACAGCCAGCACAUGGCCAAGGCUACCUUGGCCAGUACAACAUUUUGGGUGCCAGACAGGGGUUAGUAAGGCCCAUGUACCCUUCAGCAGUGAGAGCAGCAGAUGGAAUGAUUUAUUCCACGAUUAACACACCGAUAGCUUCUACACUGCCAAUCACUACUCAGCCAGCCUCCAUCCUAAGACCUAUGCUGAGAGGUCUUUACAGACCCUUUCCUCCUGGAAAUGUCACAGCUAUUCCUUUGGCCAGCCUCUCAAGAUUACCUGUGGUUACACCACGAAUGCCUCUCUCCUCCCAGGGGCCCUACCGCUACCCACCACCCAGUCGUUUCAUACCACCUCCAGUUGUUUCCAGCACCACGGUCACUGCCACGGUUGCAGACACACCUGUGUAUCUGGGCAAGCCCUCUGUGAAUCUGGCCACCACUAUGUCAACAGCCCAGCCUACUGGUCACAUUGGGGCCUCCAGCUUGCCCAUGGGUGGGGCUUCUACAGCAGCGCCACCAGUGGUACAGCCAAUAUCAGUGCCUACCAGCCAGCAGCAGCCUCUUCCCCAAACUCAGAGUCAGAUCCCCCUCCACACUCAAGCACAGCCUCACCCUCUACCUCAGACACAGCCUCAGUCUGCUCCCCAGCUUCCACCCCCAAUUAUAAGUGACGUGACCACGAGCAGCACCAUCAGUAGCAGUACCUUAGGGAGUAAUGCCGAGAAAGAGAAAGAAGAGGAACGCUUACGUCGGCAGCAGGAGCAACUCCUGCAACUGGAAAGGGAGCGGGUGGAGCUGGAGAAGCUGCGGCAGCUUCGUCUUCAGGAGGAACUAGAGAGGGAACGGCUGGAGUUGCAACGGCAUCGUGAGAAGGAGCAGAUGCUGGUCCAACGCGAGAUCCAGGAGCUGCAGACCAUCAAACAGCAAGUGCUCCAGCAGCAACAGGUUGAGCGUGAGACUCAGCUUGCCCUGCAGAGAGAACAGCUGGCCCAGCAGAAGAUGCAACUAGACCAGAUACAAACACUGCAGCAACAAUUGCAGCAUCAGCUAGAAGAGCAGAAGAGGCAAAAGGUAGCUGUGGCUACCGCUGUGGCAGCAGGGCCAGCUGUGGUAGGACCUGGGACAACACAGGCAUUCCCUAUUGUCUGUGAUCAAACAGGUCGCCUGAUUCAGCAAGAUAUGUCCCAAGAGCUGCAGAGGACUAUGGGUCAGAAUGGGCAGUACUGGCAGCCCUAUGUGGAAGGGGCAGUCAUGCAAGGUGCAGUGCCACCACGACCUUUGCCCAGUUCUGUUUCUGAAAUGUCAUUGCGGAAUGAAGACCAGGUUGAAGCUCGAAGUAUCAAAAAACGGAAUUCUAUGCCACGUUUAAAGGAUGGUGUGGACUUUGAAGACUCUCAGCAUAAUGUCAAGAGAAUAGCGGACAGCUGUGUGCAGACAGACGAUGAGGAUGGUGAAGAGAGGUACAUCAUGUCCCGGAGGAGGCGUUCACGUCGCAGUGUUGACUGCAGCGUGCAGACUGAUGAUGAAGACAAUGGGGAGUGGGAACAGCCUGUACGAAGAAGAAGGUCCCGCUUUUCUAAGCACUCAGACUCAGAGACCAAAUCAGACUCUUCUAAGGGUACCUCAAGCAUUGCCAUUCAGACCAUUAGUGAUGGUUCAUGCCAAACUGAGCCUGAUCAACUUGGCCGAAUGUCACCUGCUAUCCGUAUCACUACCCAUGACCCCAAAGUAGAAAUUGUUCGCUACAUAUCUGCUCCUGAGAGGACCCAAAAAGGGGAAAGUCUGGCUUGCCAGACGGAACCAGAAUCUCAAUCUCAAGGUGUGGUGGUGCCUCAGUUGACUGUACCUACCACUAUUACCCCUUAUUCCACAAACAUUCAGCUUGUGACUUCAGGACCAUUAGAGACCCAUUCUUCACGUCUGUCCAAGUUUGAGAAGAAAAAGCCAGACCCCCUGGAUAUCAGCUACCAGUCUCACCAUCUGCACAAUGAGUCCCUCUCACAGCUAGUUCGCCAGCCACCCAAAUCUCCUCAGGUCCUUUAUUCUCCUGUGUCCCCGAUUUCCCCCCAUCGCCUCCUAGAGAGUUCAUUUUCAUCUAGUGAACGUCUCAACAAGGCUCAUGUGACACCACAAAAACACUUCACAGCUGACUCCCCCCAACGCCAGCAGACUCUUCCUCGGCCUAUCAGAACUAUGCAGAGAUCCAUGUCUGACCCCAAACCAGUCAGUCCGACGUCAGAGGAUCCCACCAAGGCCAAAUUCUCCCUGUAUCAACAGCAGGCUCUGCACAGCAGUCAGUUGUCUGCUUUGCAGCAGAGCAGUCUGAUCCGCAAAGUGAAGAGGACACUGCCCAGUCCACCUCCAGAAGAGUCCCACCUUCCCAUAAUCACCCCGACUCUGCCCCAAAUGUAUGUGCCUACUUUGCCACAAAAAGUGGGGCCAAGGCCGGCUCAAAUCACCAAGGCCAGCCUUCUGAAGGACAUCACUCAUGAGCUGAAGGUGGUGGAGCAGGAGUCCACCAAACUGCGCAAGCAGCAGGCAGAGCUGGAGGAAGAAGAAAAAGAGAUUGACGCUAAGCUGCGGUACCUAGAGUUGGGCAUCACUCAGAGGAAGGAGACCCUACUGAAGGAGAGGGAGCGGAGGGAACUGGCCUUCAACCGAUGCAUAGGAGACACACGGGACUACAUGUCUGACAGUGAGCUCAAUAACCUCCGCAUUGCUACUACCUACGAAGGAAAUGGACUACUGGCAAGGCCCAGUACUGCUCCCAUGAGCCAGUUCUCGGAAUUUACCACUACCCAGUACCCUUCCACCUCUUCCUAUGCAACCUAUCAGUAUCAGACAGCUGCUCAGGGGACGGCCACCUACCAGCAAACAGGGUUCCAGCCACCCCAGUACCCCACUGUCACCAACACCCCACUCCAGCAAACCACUUUUCAGGCCCCUCAGCCUGCCCCAGUUUACCACCCUCAGAACACUUUCCAGCAACACAACUUUACCCCAAGUCAGCCCUACCAGUCUGAUCUGGGAGCGCAGAGCCAUCCAGGCUUUCAGCCUCCAGUUCCCUACCAAACGCAAACGUCCUUCCCUACCCAACCACCCUUCCAGCCUGGCCAAAGUAUACCUUUCCAACCGCAGGCUGACAUCCACAGCGUUCAUCAGAAACCCCGUCAGACAUCAUUGGCAGACCUAGAGCAGAAGAUUCCUACAAAUUAUGAAGUCAUCAGCACCCCUGCUGUUGUGAUCACCUCCACUGCCCCUGAAGUGACCUACUCAUCCACUACGGUGGCCAACAGUUAUGGACAGUACAAGCCCCCCGAGACCAGUCUAGCUGAACGGGUCAAUGCUGUAGAAAGUCCUUCCUCCGCUUAUUCUUCAGAAUCGCUCUACACCAAUUUGGAACAGAACAUUCCCCGCAAUUAUGUUAUGAUUGAAGACAUAAGUGAGUUAACCAAAGAGAGUUCAGGAACAACAUCUGACCUGCAAAAGCCAGAGUCUCAGAUGCCUCCAGCUAAUGGGCGAUAUGGGAAGGAUCGUUCUGAAGUGAGUGAGAAUGUUAACACCACGAGGGGGAGCUCCUACUCAAAAGUUGAAGAAGAGUCUGAGGAAGACAUGUAUGACCACCAUGGCAGGGUUAAGAGUAGCAGUAGCAACUACCACCAGCGUGGUGUUGACAGUCAUGGAAGAAUGAGCAGCAGUAGUGCUAGUGGAAGUGGGGGAUCCUCCUACUAUUACGAUGACUACAAGCAUUCCUCAUCUCGGUUAGACAAGCACGGAUCCAGCAUGGGUGUCCAGAAGCAUUCAUCUAAAAACUUGGCCCCAGCUGUAGUAUCCGCCAAACGCAGCAAGCACAGGAAGCAAAGCAUGGAACAAAAGAUCUCCAAGUUUUCCCCAAUUGAAGAAGCCAAGGAUGUGGAAUCUGAUUUGGCUAGCUACUCCAUCACAACAUCCUCAGAGGGCAAUUGCAAUGUGAUGACCAGGGCAAAGAAGCUUCAAGAUGAAAUCACCUAUGGCCUGAAGAAGAAUGUUUAUGACCAGCAAAAGUAUUAUGGCGUGUCCAGUCGAGAUGCCUUAGAAGAAGAUGACCGGUUGUACAGCAGUGGCAGGUCGAGGUCAACAGGCUACGGAAUAGACAAGAUCUCAUCUCGGGACUCUGGCAACCACAGAAGCAAGUCCUAUGACCGGGACACCAUGGACCGAUCCCAAAGGGGCAGCCACAGCCGGGGCCGGCCCACACUGCGCUCCCAGAACUCUGAGGAAGAGAGCCCGCUCAGCCCCAUGGGGAAGCCGAUGGGUGUUGGGCGAGGUUCUGGUACCUCAGAGCCGUCUAACAGCCACAGUCAGUUCGGCUCCAGCCACUCCCUGCCUGAUGUGCAGGACCACAUGAAGGACUUGCCCCGAAGCCAUGUCUACAAGCCCGAUGAUGCUUACAUUCUGGACGAUAUGCACUGUGCUGUGUCAGACAGUGAAGCCUAUCAUUUGGGGCAGGAGGAGACAGACUGGUUUGAGAAGCCUAGAGAGCCACGCUCAGAGAGGUCCCGGCACUACAGUGGUGGUGGAAGCGGCUCACACUCUUCCUCGCAGAAGCGCGGCUAUGUCAAGCACACAUACCAUGACUACGAUGAGCCUCCAGAUGAAGACCUCUGGCAGCAGGAAGACUAUAACCAGCCUCGGCACUCAUCCUCAUCUUCAUCCCGUGAGCACAGGCACCAUGGAAGUAACACUGGCAGGCAUUCUUCAUCAUCCCGCCAUUCAUCAGAAGAGCCUCGCUCAUCACGAUCAUCUAAGCAGCAUGUGAAGGAUCCUUCCUUGCGCCAUGACUCUCGGCAGCAGCCCACCUCAUCCUCUUCAUCCUCAACGAAGAGGAGUCAGCCCCCCGAGUCCCGGUCCUCUCAGGGCUAUCACUCCUCUGAUUACUCCCAUCAGCCUUCUAGCCACCACCACCAUGGCUCUUCAGAGGGCCAGAGGAUGUCAAGGCAACAGCAGCCACCCUCAAGCCAUCAGCAGCACCAACAAUCACAUCAGCAGCCAUUGCAGUCAUCCAGGAAGCAGGACAUGCAGUCGUCUCAGCAGCAGUCAUCUUCACGGCAAACAUCAGCCUCUCAGCAGCAACAGUCCACAAGGCAGCAGCAGCAAGGGCAACAGCAGCAACCUGGCCGGCAGCAGCAACCGCAAGGACAGCAGCAACAGCAGCAGCAAGGGCAGCAGCAGCGCACUCAACAGCAGCCACCACAGGCAUCCACGACAAGGCAGCCACAGAUUCAGCCGACAACAGCAGGACCGCAGCAACAGCAACAGCAGCAGCAACAACAACCAGUUCAAGCACAGCAACAGCCGCAGCAGCAGCAGCAGGCUAAAGUGGGUCAGGCUCCGACCCGGCAGCCCCAAACAAGUGUCCAGCAGCCUGCAGCGGCAAAAACUGACACGAUGGAUGCCUCCAAAGUGGGUGCCAAAGCAGUGACACAGCCAGCCAAGACCCCUCUGCCACAAACUCCAGCGACUGGAAUAGGCUCUAAAGCAGCACCAAGACCUGGAGGCCCAGCUGGUGCAGGACAGCCUGCUGGAGAAGGAGAAAGCAUGUUCUCGAAAAUUCUACCAGGGGGUGCCGCUGAGCAGGCCGGAAAGCUUGGGGAAGCUGUGUCUGCUUUUGGAAAGAAAUUUACUUCAUUUUGGUGAGCUGCUGAAUAGAGGAAUGUUCUGGAGUGGUUAAGAAGAAGGAACUGGCCCCUGUACUGGAAAAACCUAUGAACACAUGGCUCCUGAUUUUCAUAUUAGAGGGUGAAGUGUGGGACUCAGGGGGUCACACCAUUUGGCGGGUUGGAAUCACUGAUGUCCAGGCACCACUGAAGAUUCCAAACAUACAUAUCGCCAUUUUCCUUGGACAGGAGAGGCUGCACACAGAUGCCCUCAGGGAGCAAUCAGAGCUACAAUGGAAAGAUGCCAAGCACUUCAGCCUUACCCAGACCCAAAGCAUCAGGGCUAUCAGCUACUAGGUGUACAGACAGACAGGUGGCCCAUUCCAGAAGAGACAGUGUAGAGGACACCAGAGCCACUGAGUCAUCAACCAGCCCGGGAUGAGGCCUGUGUUUGUGCAAUACAGGCAUGCAGCUGAGCAUCUCCUGUAUUCUGAGGAAGAUUUUUUUCAUUUUUAUUUGUUUGUGCAUUUGCUCAAAUAGAUAUAUAUUCUGCAUUGGGAAUAUUUCAAGCACUUUUGGAAUUCAGAGUGUCUGGAGCUUCUUUGAUUGCUGUCUGCCAAACAGAUGCUGGCCAUGUCCUGGGGGCUAUAAUCCCCUCUUAUUAUCCGAGGAGGAAAGCAAAGCAAAAAGAACUCUUCAUAGGUUUUUCUUGUACAUAAAGACCUUUUCUAAUUAAAAUUGGGGCAAUGAAAAACAAAGAAA